rnacentral:rRNA from 1 species
ACGGGUGAGUAACACGUAGGUAACCUGCCUUUAAGACUGGGAUAACUAUCGGAAACGAUAGCUAAGACCGGAUAACUGGUUUUCUCGCAUGAGAGAAUCAUGAAACACGGAGCAAUCUGUGGCUUGAAGAUGGGCCUGCGGCGCAUUAGCUAGUUGGUGAGGUAACGGCUCACCAAGGCGACGAUGCGUAGCCGACCUGAGAGGGUGAACGGCCACACUGGGACUGAGACACGGCCCAGACUCCUACGGGAGGCAGCAGUAGGGAAUCUUCCGCAAUGGACGCAAGUCUGACGGAGCAACGCCGCGUGAGUGAUGAAGGUUUUCGGAUCGUAAAGCUCUGUUGCCCUAGACGAACAGCAAGGAGAGUAACUGCUCUUUGUGUGACGGUAUAGGAGAAGAAAGCCCCGGCUAACUACGUGCCAGCAGCCGCGGUAAUACGUAGGGGGCAAGCGUUGUCCGGAAUUAUUGGGCGUAAAGCGCGCGCAGGCGGUCAUUUAAGUCUGGUGUUUAAUCCUGGGGCUCAACCCCAGUUCGCAUCGGAAACUGGAUGACUUGAGUGUAGGAGAGGAAAGUGGAAUUCCACGUGUAGC